UACUUUGUAAUUUCUGUUGUAAAAUGAAUCUUCAUAACUGGAUUUUCAGCAGGAAAUACUCCACUUGACAUUUAUCUGCAUUCACACUGAAUGGACUGACAGGCUUGUUGGAGAGGGGCUUUGGGCAAGGGCCUGGAGUGACAGGACACCAGGAGUGGUUUCAACCCAACGCAGGGCAGGGCCACAUGGGAUAUUGGGCAGGAAUUGUUCCCUGUGAGCGGGGGGAGGCCCUGGCACAGGGUGCCCAGAGCAGCUGUGGACGGGUCUGAGAUCCUCUGCAAUUUCCCAGUCUCUGAGCAGGUCAGGAGGUGCAGCUGUUUUCACAAGGGAGUGCUCUGGCCCAGCCCCAAUAGCCUGGGCAUUCUCCUCAUCUUUACCUGUGAGUUUCACAAGCAUUGCCUCCUGAAGAUGCCACCUGUCCAAUGGGGAAUGUUUCCAUCUGAUCCAGCUGUUCCUCUUCCUUUUUCAAGUAAUUGACCAAACGCCUGUGCAGAAAGAGGCACUUCCUGGAGGAGGCAGUGGGUCAGUGCCAGCCUCUGCUGCAGGAAGGAAGGCGAUGCCAAGCACGGACACAGGCAUGGGCACAGGAGGUGAUUGCUGUGCCGGGCUCAGCCCUCGGCGGGGCUGUGUGGCAGCAGCUCUUCCCCCAGGCCCUGCCCUUGCACGGCCCGGCAGCAGCCAAAGCUGGAGGUGCCUCGGCUUCCAGGCCUCUGGAGCUCGUUCACAGCCCCGGGGAAUCGGGACUCGUGCACCAACAAUGUCCCUCCCUCUGCAGCUGCUCCCGCAGCCAGCCCUGAGUGCCCAGAGGCCCCAGGCACAGGAGCAGCCCCGAGCGGGAGCCCUGCUGUGAGCCCAGGGCCAGAGCCAGCCCUGGCACACAAUGGAAACCUUCUCAUCUUGGUUUGCUUCUAGAUGGGGAUGCCCCAAAGGCUUCUCCAUUAGCCUGGCAGUAUGACACUUUGAAGCCCUCUGGGCAUCCUGCAGGUAUGUUCUCAGUGUCUCAUAAUCAUUGACUAUCUGGAAGGAACCAGGUGACAGAAGCUCCUGUGCCUGUUCAGUUACAGGCGUUUCUGCAGAGAGGAUCUCUCCAGCUCCUGGGAUGGAUGAUGCACACCAACCCAGCUCCCAUCACAGGGGUGAGUAGUGUGUCCCUGCUGAACCCACAGGCUGAGCAAUGGUUUUGUGGGGUCCAUUCCUGGGAAAUGGAACAGCUUUCUGUUAAGAUCCUCCAAUAGGAAACACCAACCAGAUGGUAGACAAGAAAUCCCAGAAACCAUUUGAAGUCAUGUGGAAAAUGCUGAAGGAAAUGGAACAGGCAGGACAAGGUGGGUGCAUUUCCCUCAGCCUUCCCCUGGGACUCAGCAGCCGGGGCCUUUCCCUGCACAUCUGGACAGGCCCUGCCCGGCACAGCGGGAAGGGAUCCAUGGCAGCCUCGCUGCCCCGCUGCUGCUCUCCUGGCCUGCAGGGCUGUUUCCCAGCCUGGGCUGGCUGCAGCUUCUCCCCAGCCUGUGCAGGAAGGCAUUUGGCACCAGCUGACACGGACCCCAAACUGCACCAUGGGCCAUGCACAGCCUGAAAUCCCCUGAAGUUUCCCUGUCUCUGAGCACAUCAGAUUGAGGGGCUGUUUGGAGAAGGGACCAGCAUAGGGCAGUCCCAACAUCCUGAGUGUUUUCCGAUGCUUAUCCAUAUCUUUCAAAAAUAUUCCCUCCUCAAGAUGUUACCUUCCCCAUUCCCCAUGCGGAAUGUUUCCAUCUGAUCCAGCUGUCUCUUUUCCAUUGUCGGGAAAUGAAAGGAGAGCCUGUGCAGAAGGAAGCAUUUCCCAGAGGAAGCAGAGAUUCUGUGCCAGCCUCUGCUGCAGGAAGGGAGGCGAUGCCAGGCACAGUCACAGGAGGUAAUUGCUGUGCCUCUGGGCCUGAGCCCUGCUGAGCCUUGAGCUGCCCUCUCUGCUGCUUGGCAGCGUGGGCACAGCCCGGACAAGGCCGGCACAGCCCAGAGGAAUUAUUAUGCCCGGGGCACUCCGGUACUGAGCAGUCCUGCUGGGGUCCCUCUGUGGGAGACACGUCCCGAGCUCUGGAAGUGACUGCACGGGGUGCCCAUGGUGGGGAAAGGGCAGAGGGGGAGAGCAAGGCUCCAGAGUGUCCUGAGAGGGCCUGGCUAUGUGCCAUUGGGCUGAGGGAUUUGUCCCAGCAGUAAGAGGGCAGGAGGGACAGGGGGAGGCAAGGAUACCUGUGGAACUGCCUGCUGCAGUUUUCCCCUGGGCUUUAGGGAGGGUUUCCUCUGUGGGAAGAAGAGAACCCCCAGGGCCCCAGGCUGCUCCAGCUGCCCAUCCAUGGAUGUUGCCAGGGCCUGCAAAGAGCAUGGACAGUGACCAGGAGCAAGCCCUGAGCUCCACAGGCCCUGUGCUCCUUUGGCCUUUUCCAUUCACAUCUGGAUCCCAUGGCCUUACCCAACCCCCUUGCAAGUGCUCAGUUCCUAAACGCAGAAGGGGACCACAGCACACCAAGGAAAUGGUUCUGAUCUGUGCUCACUUCUAGAUUUGGAUGGCAACCUGGAUUAUUUGGAAGCCAUGCUGGAAAAUGGCUUGAAGUUCUUGGAGGAUGUUGGAGGCAAGUUUUCAAUAUGCCUUUCCUGAGACAAAAAUCAGAGUCAGUGUGACAAGAGCUCACCCAUCUUCCACUUCCCUUAACAUCAUCCCAGGGUUGAAGGAAUCUGGAAGCCUCGCCCUGCUCACUUUCUGGAGCCCUGAGUGAUCCCACAGGAUCACUGUCAGUGGGAGGAAGGAACAUUUAGCUGUCAGUUUUAUUCCUGUGUGCAAUGCCAGAGUGUCCUUCCGUGUGCUCUGUGCAGCCCCAGAGAAGAGCAGAGAGGGAAGGGGCCGAGCCCAGGGCUGUGUCCUGGGGCUGAGCCUUGGGUGCAGCCUGAGGAUCUCCUACAUUGUCACAGGAGCUGUUCUGCCCUGCCUUUCUUUGCAGAUAACCCUGCUGGUGAAAGUGAUCUGGCUUCCCAACCCACGUUCAGGAUGGAGGCUCUGGGAGAUGCUGAGGAAAUGGACCAAACAUCUCUGCAGAAGGAGGCACAUCCCGGAGGAAGCAGUGGCUCAGUGCCAACCUCUGCUGCAGGAAGGAAGGCGAUGCCAGGCACGGGCACAGGCACAGGAGAUGCUGCCGGCCCCACAACACCUGUUCCCGAUGCCCAGAAAAGCCUCAGAAGUCGUUGCUAUUGGGAAACACACUGUUUGAUACAGUUAAUUGCAGGUCUGCUUUUUUUGGAGCUUUCCUUCAUGUUCACCUGUGUUGGAAUCUGGUGUUACUGCAAGAGAAAACGCAGCGCCUCUGCAGCUUCACAAGACCAGAUGACUUCAGCCAUGCAGAUCUGUUCCUGUCAUCAGCCUUCCCCAAGCCAGUUUCCAACAUGCCUUCCGCAGCUGCAUUACCCACUUACUUCUGGGGACAUGCUGCCACCACCCAUAACAGAACCCUCUGUCCCCAAAGGUGCUGGCCCUGGUGUCCAGCCAGGACAGGAGGUACAGCCCUCCUGCCAGGGUAGGGCCUGACUCCAGCAGCAUCUUUGGGCUUCAGCUCUGGUCCCUGGGUGCUCCCACCAGCACUGGCAGAGCUGCUUGUCUGGGCACAGUCAGUGCUGGGCAGGCAGCAGCUGGGCUUCGGGCACCUGAGACCAGCAGCUACUGUGUUUAGUUUUCAUUUUGCAGGAUUUAGGAAUAUUUUUCAUAGAAAAUUCUCCAAAUAUUUAGUCCCUUUUCCCACAACAGUUCUAUAUUUUUCAAAGUAGUUUUAGUAUUCAGAAAAACUUAGAAUAUUUUCACACUUUUAGAAUAAAAAUAUAAAAUGCAUUGAAUUGCUAGUCUAUGCUCUACUAAAAACUAAGACACCCUAUGACUCACAGCCUGCUUCAGAGGCUCUUUUCCCACAGGAGACUUGUGCCUAAUCACAACAACUAACCUAAAACCUUUUCCCUGAUGUUUUCUGGGAUUCCUGACAAGCUCACCUCUCAGUCUUCAGAGGCAAACCUUGAGCACAGCAGGAAUCUUUUCAAGUCACCAUCUUUCUUUGCUUCUGCACAAAGUGCCUCAGUCAUAGAGCAGGGGCUUUGCUCAGCUUCCUGCCGCCCUGCUGCCCCCAAGGCUGUCCUGAGCCCUCUGCUGCAGCUGCUGCGCUGCCAUGGAGCUGCUGUAAAACACAACAGCUCUGCCACACGCGCUCAGCAGGACUGGAGAAGCUUUCUGGCCUUGCUUACAUUAGGCUGGUGGCUUCUCUAAACACAAGUUGAGCUUUUGAACGCUAUGUCUCACCUGGCACAGGAACUGAUGCUGCCUUUCUCAUGGAGGCUAAACUCCCAUGGGCUUUAAAAGUUUUCUGGCCAGCAUAAGGCCUGGAAAACCAUUUAAUGCAGCCAUUUAGUAUUGAAAAUGGCCCAGUCUAUGUAUUAAAGUAGCUUGUUUAAAUGCUGGAGCCCAUCAGAGCAUCCCUCCAGGGCAUAUCUGUCUCUCCCCCACCUCUGCCUCCAUGACUGCCAAACUGCACCUUUGAGAGUUCUCUUCUCCAGAAGCUGAAUGGCACCUUUUUAUUUGGGGGAGGAAAAAAAAAAAGGAAAUGUUCUAUGCUACUAUCAUCAUCAUCACAAUAAUGAGCUGCAAAUUAGUUAAAUGACAUCAACAACUCAGACUGUGGACUUAGUUCUCAGAGUGCAGCACUGGCUUUACUAUCCCUUGAAUCUGCAGAUGUGCUACAGUCUUUAAAAUCCGUUUCAUGCUUACCUAAUUUGGAGUCAAGCACAGCUCUGUGAGAGCUUUAGGGGUUGGGCCUACCCUGGCACUCUCGAGGUGUCUGGAGUGACCUGCCCAAGCCAUCUGCCACCUGAAGAGCAAAGCAGGGUAUGGAAAAGCACAGGCUGCAGAACAGCUCGAACUGCAGGGAGCCCAUUCCUGUCAGGAGUAACACGACCAUCCCACCUUAGGACUGGGUUUUGUGAGAAACAACUGCACACUUUAAAAGUUUUAAAACGUUUAUUAGACAUUUACAAAAACAUAAGAGAAGGACUCAUAAGGAAGAACAGGCCUGGGAAGGCCCCCUGCCCCAUGGCUGCUACCUGCCAGGUGGCUGCCUCAUCUUCAAGAUUGAUGCUUCACCUUUUACAUUCCUGGAGGGUGCAUCAGCCACCCCUGGGCCCUCCCAAAGUCUGUCAGUCAACCCUUCUUUGCCGUUUAUUGGUGGAAUUUAUUUCUUGUAGCUGCGUUUGAAGGUCAGGUGUUGUCAUGCCGCGUCCCCCCAGCAACAAGCUUUUCCAUUCCUACUCUCCCAUGCAAGGGGUAUAUGUCGAUACCUAUUGUGGUGGACCCCCACUGCAGGGAAUGACGUGCAUUGACUCCAUGUUUGCAGAAGGAUGAAUAAAAGCUUUAUUAAGCUGUCCUAUAUUACACUAUACUAAAAACUAUAUUACUGCUAUACUGAAGAGAAACCCGUGACCCUUAGAGACAGUCCAACACAGAGUGGCUCCAGUUGGUCAAAUGAAAUCAAAACACCAUCACCAGAGUCCAAUGAAGAAAUCCCUCUUUGGUAAACAAUCUCCAUAACACAUUCCACAUGUGCCAAACAUCAGAUGCAGCAAAUGGAGAUAAUUGUUUUUCUUCUUUCUCUGAGCUUUCUCACAGCCUUCCCCAGGAUGUUCCUGGGAAAGCCUGUGUCUCUCACUGUUCAAAGGAUAUGUGAAUACCACACACGCCUUCUUUCUACCUGUCUAGACAGCCCAGGCUGUCUGGUGGGAACAAUAGGGAGUGGGGGGUGAGAUGUAUGAUUAUAAUUUACUCCAAUUAAAUAUUGUUGUAUUGAAUCAAGGCAAAUAUGAUUUGGCAUGUAUAAUAUUUAGUUAUUACACAAUACACAUACCAGCACUGUAAGCUGCCCCCCCCCCCCACACACACACAUAUUUGUUUACACCAGAGCCAGGUUUUUUUUGGACAAUGCCUCAUUUACAAUUAAUACAUGUGGCUAGUCUGGAGAUGGGCUGUCCCAAAAGGAGAUACUGGAACACCUGGGAGCUGAUCAUCCCGGUAGCGACUCAAGAUUGGGAUCGCUGGAGUCCUCCGGGCUGAUGCAUCUGAAUGCCACGGUUCCCAUAACCUCAUCAGGAAAAAUUGUCCACACCUGGACCUGGAUUGUUCAACCCCGGCUGAGAGAAAAGAACUUUAUGAAUAUGUGGGACUCUGAAUAGAGAGAAAAGGCAGGUGACUGAAAUCCUGGCCUCGGGCAGAAAAUUUCCUAUAAGAACUGCAGGGUCCGGGAGGGUGGUGUGUGUGUCCAGGGGAACCUCUGCCGAGAGGCUCCUUCCUGUCACGCACCCAGUGCCGAACCUGGGCUCAGCGCUGUCCUUUUCCUUUUGGCCUGCUCAGAGAGAAUUCAAUCCUGAAUAACUUUUUAUUGUUUCAUUUUAAAUUUGGCUGGACUAAUUUUCAUUUAUAAAAGGGGGAAGGGGACUGUGGGGAGAACGGAGAACAUCUAAACAACAAAUCACAAUAACAUAACUCUACAUCAAUAAAGCUUCUCUUAAGAUACA